rnacentral:rRNA from 1 species
UACGAAGGGGCUAGCGUUGCUCGGAAUUACUGGGCGUAAAGCGCACGUAGGCGGCUUUCUAAGUCGGGGGUGAAAUCCUGGAGCUCAACUCCAGAACUGCCUUCGAUACUGGAGAGCUUGAGUCCGGGAGAGGUGAGUGGAACUGCGAGUGUAGAGGUGAAAUUCGUAGAUAUUCGCAAGAACACCAGUGGCGAAGGCGGCUCACUGGCCCGGUACUGACGCUGAGGCACGAAAGCGUGGGGAGCAAACAGGG